rnacentral:rRNA from 1 species
UACGAAGGGUGCAAGCGUUAAUCGGAAUUACUGGGCGUAAAGCGUGCGCAGGCGGUUUGUUAAGCCAGAUGUGAAAGCCCCGGGCUCAACCUGGGAACUGCGUUUGGUACUGGCAAGCUAGAGUACGGCAGAGGGGGGUGGAAUUCCACGUGUAGCAGUGAAAUGCGUAGAGAUGUGGAGGAACACCGAUGGCGAAGGCAGCCCCCUGGGUCGAUACUGACGCUCAGGCACGAAAGCGUGGGGAGCAAACAGG